GCCGCGGUAAAACCAGCACCUCAAGUGGUCAGGAGGAUUAUUGGGCCUAAAGCAUCCGUAGCCGGCUCUGUAAGUUUCCGGUUAAAUCCAUGUGCUCAACGCAUGGGCUGCCGAAAAUACUGCAUAGCUAGGGAGUGGGAGAGGUAGACGGUACUCAGUAGGAAGGGGUAAAAUCCUUUGAUCUAUUGAUGACCACCUGUGGCGAAGGCGGUCUACCAGAACACGUUCGACGGUGAGGGAUGAAAGCUGGGGGAGCAAACCGGAUUAGAUACCCGGGUAGUCCCAGCUGUAAACGAUGCAGACUCGAUGAUGCAUUGGCAUAUAGCCAGUGCAGUGUCGCAGGGAAGCCGUUAAGUCUGCCGCCUGGGAAGUACGUACGCAAGUAUGAAACUUAAAGGAAUUGGCGGGGGAGCACGGUCAUAGCUGUUUCCGGA
rnacentral:rRNA from 1 species